GGAUGGAUCACCUCCUUUCUAAGGAAAAAAUAAAAUUAUCAUCUUCAGUUUUGAAAGACUUAGAAAAUUCAUAAGUUUUUCUUUUUUUAAGGCAUUAAGGGCCUAUAGCUCAGCUGGUUAGAGCACACGCCUGAUAAGCGUGAGGUCGGUGGUUCAAGUCCAUUUAGGCCCACCAGUUUAUUUUAAAAGUUAUAAGCACUGUCUUAAAAAAAAGUUCUUUGAAAAGUAGAUAAACAUAGUAAAAUCAAAAAAAUUGAAGGAAUUAAGAGCGCACAGUGGAUGCCUUGGCACCAAGAGCCGAUGAAGGACGCAAUUAACGGCGAUACGCCACGGGGAGUUGUAAAUAAAUGAAGAUCCGUGGAUUUCCGAAUGGGGAAACCUACUAUAAUAACAUUAUAGUUUUUUGAUUUUCGAAUCAAAAAGGGAUACGCAGUGAACUGAAAUAUCUAAGUAACUGCAGGAAAAGAAAGUAAUAACGAUUCUGGCAGUAGCGACGAGCGAAUCCGGAGGAGCCUGAUACCACCACUAGUUACAAAAUUUUAACCAACUUGAAGUUUUUGGGAAAAAACACCAAAGAAGGUGAUAGUCCUGUAAGGGUAAGUUAAAAUCUAGGGUAUCGAAAAGUACGGCGAGACACGAGAAAUCUUGUUGGAACAUAGGGAGGACCAUCUCCUAAGGCUAAAUACUACUUGGUGACCGAUAGUGAACUAGUACCGUGAGGGAAAGGUGAA
rnacentral:sRNA from 1 species